UACAGAGGGUGCAAGCGUUACUCGGAAUUACUGGGCGUAAAGCGCGCGUAGGUGGUUUGUUAAGUUGAAUGUGAAAUCCCCGGGCUCAACCUGGGAACUGCAUCCAAAACUGGCAAGCUAGAGUAGGGCAGAGGGUGGUGGAAUUUCCUGUGUAGCGGUGAAAUGCGUAGAUAUAGGAAGGAACACCAGUGGCGAAGGCGACCACCUGGGCUCAUACUGACACUGAGGUGCGAAAGCGUGGGGAGCAAACAGG
rnacentral:rRNA from 1 species